rnacentral:lncRNA from 1 species
UGCCAACAGUCAGCAAAAUUUGAUUUAUUAGGAAACGCGUGGCUUUGACAUUUUCACAUUCAAAUGCGUUUGCCUGUUGAAAAGCGUGUAUUUAUAUAGGAAACGUUCUACUCACGUCCUUUUGUUACUUAUUGAAAUAAUCGAAACAGCUAGUAACACGCCCAUGAUUCGUGAUUUGUUUUUUCAACUGCAAACAACAGCCAACGUACCCUCCGCUUUCCUUAUACUAUGCCCGGCAGCAAACUAACUUAUACAGUAAACAAAUAUCGAGAUUACCUACAUCUUUAUCUAACAUUUUUAGUUUAGUGAACCUUAACCUCAACUAUUUAUCGCUCAUAGGGGAAACACAUGAGAGAUAACACCAAUUUUCAGUUAAAAAAUUUCUUAGAAGUUAUUUCUCAGCAACUCGGUUGAACAUCACUAUAUGGUCCAUUCAUUUGAAAGACGCGAGAUUAUAACCAACCCGCGAAAUUUAAAUAAAAAAUCUAUCAGGGAAAAACCCAGAAUUUCGCUCAAGGAUAGAGAAGGAAGAAUAUAAAGAUAAAAUCUAUGAUUGCAUUAUCUUUAUAAUACCUCAUGUUUUCUUUCCUGCAUGUUCGAAAAUGUGUCGCGACCUUAUGCUGGUAUCCCCACAAGCACUUUUCAAUAUAAUAAGCUUACACAAACACAAUGAGCAAGUAGUUGUGUAUAAGGACGACUUUUGUAAGCAAUGUCGGACAGUUUCAAAUUGUUUGCAGAUCCUUGUUUUAGGGGAAACACACUCCAUGGAAUUCCUACGGGCUUAUUUCAAAUUUUCGUCGGCCAAAUGAUUGGCAGACUUGGCGUACGUGAUGUCUGAUAAAAGUCUACCUGGCGCAUUCAUCAUGGGAUUAAAAGGAUUUUUCGGUUGUACACUUGUACUCUUAUGCUAACGGCAAUUCAAUCUUGCGCAAUCUCACAUAGGUGGCGCAUAACUGUACUUCACUGUUUGUCGCAUAUUUAAAAAUCUCGAAAUGUUUCGAAACUUUUACUUUCCGUUAGUAAUCAAAUAAAAUUGUACCUUAUUUUCACCUGCCCGAUAAAGUGUUCCCCGAGAGAAACUAAGCGAUGUCACGAAGCAUAGAAAAUAUCGUCUCACUUUCUAAAUUCAUUGAUAAUAAAAUUAAGCAGAGAAAUGAGCCAUGACACAGCAAGAAAAAGAGAGAUUUUGGGAGCAACAACCUCUUCAACAUUAUAGCCACGACGGUGCAAAAUUUACCUAGUCGUUGCCAAAUAUUGUUUCGUCGGGGAAAACAACCAUAUGGGGCAUGGGGUACAAUUGAUUGCUAGUCCUUUUAGGGGCUAGGGGAUUCCCUUUUCCAACUUAUGCGCUGCACCUACAUGGAAAAAUUCUGCAUUAACAAGCAAGCAGGAUGCAUAUUGUUGUAUGGGGAAAGUCUUACUGAAAACUUCUAACGCGGUAAGCGCAAGAAAUCCCGCUAAAAUGGCAAACAGCUUCUCUAGACCGUUUCCUGGUUUAUGGCGUUCACGUUCCAGGAUUUCGAAGAACGUGACGUAGAGGAGAGUUCCAGCCGCGACACCUUGCAGAAUGGCGAUUACUAGCAAAUGAGUUGCCGAUGGAUCGUGGACGUACUCUGUGACGAGGAUCCCGACCCCAACACCCACCGACGUGAUUAAUCCCAACUCUACCAUGUAAAUGACGUAGAGGAGAACGCGGAGUUUGGACGCCAGCAUCUCCAUCCCGAUGCAGAACAUGAUGGCAAGUUCGUGAACGAUGACGGCGGUGAAAAGAAACCAGACGUCGCUCUGGGUUGGUUGUAAACCGAUGGCCAUUCCUUCAAAAAUCGAAUGAAAUGACAGGGCGGCCACUAGGAGGAAUCCGCGGAUCGCCGCAGUGACGGAUUUCUGCUCUUCGGCGGAUAAUGCCAAGCCAUGAGCGUGUUCUUCGGGAGAUUGGUUUCCGUGGCUGUGGUAAUUUGGAAGUCCGUUAUUACCGUCCUCUGUCCUCAGUAAUGGUUGUGUUUUGUUCGGUUCUGAUGUGUUGCAAGGAGUUGUCCUCAAAUUCAGCGGGUAGUUUUCGACAUCAUUUUGCUUCAUCAAUCGUUCGGCCAGCACUUCGAGAAAAUAAACGAUGAAAAAUCCUGUGCAGACAGCGAUUUCGGCAAUGGGGUACCGUUCCAAUGCGGACCAUUCACCAACCUUGGACGCUUCUAAAAAUGACGUCCUCACCUAAUCCAGGAAAUCUAUUGUUUCAUUAUAUUAAUGGUUUGAAUUCAAGGUCUGAAAUACCUCAGGGAGCAUAUGGAUGAAACAAGUCGAUAAGAGAAGUCCGGCACCGAAGCAAAGGAACAUUGAUAAAAUCAACUCAACUCGACCUCGUCGUCGGAUUCCACUUUGUCCUUCGCUGAGACAUUUCUCUAAUUUUCCGUGAACUUUAAGAGGUAGCAAUCCGGCGAAAAGUCUUAUCACAGCCAGUAACACGGCUGAGCAUAUUUUAUCAACAAGUAGCAUUAUUACUCACCGCAACACCGUCCAAACUAUAAAGUCUAUCUAUUUAUCAAAUAGAAUUCAAGGAGAAAAUAACUUGCUUUUAUUGGGAUCGUCUACUGGAUGAGUAGUAUACUUUCCCGUAACUAAUCUGACGCCAAAGAGUAAACAGUAAAUUUUUACCUUAAAAAUUCGUUGAAGCGUCGCAAGCAAAAUCAUCAUGACGACGUUUUCAAAUGGGUAUUUUCCAGUUCGACGUUUGGGUACCAGCUUAGCCGCUAACUAGAAUUCACUUUUGUUUCAGUCUCAAUUCAUACCCGCCACAGUAUAUACUUAAAAGUGCUGACUGAAAAGCUGCAAUCAAAGAUGAAGAAAUCGUUUCUAUUUGUUGUUUUCUCCGUGGCCUUAGUUGUCGCAUGGGUUGAAGCAGAUACGGAGAAAUCCAAUCAGACUCAUCCGCUAAUUAUGGGACCGCAUUGCCAUAUUCAACCGGGCGUGGACCAAUCCAAUUGUUACUGGAAAGGUUCAUCGCCAUUCUGUGUAAGCGGUGAUGCAUGUCCGUACGGAUUUUCUUUGAUAUGCAAACACGCCUGUGGAGACGGGAAAUGUUGUUGGACGGGCAACAAGUCCUUGUGCUGCCCAAUACCAGGGGAAUCCAUCUAAAAAUAGUCCAUUCAAGGUUUUAACCGUUAUUCAAAGUAUUCUUUUAUUACAAACGACGGACACCUUUUGAAAUACAACUGAUAUCAA